rnacentral:tRNA from 1 species
AGUAGCUCAAUUGGCAGAGCAGCGGAUUCCAAAUCCGCAGGUUGGGGGUUCGAUUCCCUCCUGG